rnacentral:rRNA from 1 species
UACAGAGGUCUCGAGCGUUAGGCGGAAUCACUGGGCUUAAAGCGUGUGUAGGUGGAUCGUUAAGUACCUUGUGAAAUCCCACGGCUUUAACCGUGGAACUGCUUGGUAUACUGGCGGUCUUGAGUCAGCUAGGGGCUACCGGAACAAAUGGUGGAGCGGUGAAAUGCGUAGAUAUCAUCUGGAACGCCAAUGGUGCAGACAGGCUGCUGGGGGAUGUACUGACGCUGAGGCACGAAAGCCAGGGGAGCGAACAGG